UUGCUACUACCGAUUGAAUGAUUCAGUGAGGUCUUCGGACCGAUACCCGGAGCGGCCUUCGUGUUGUGCGGGUGUGUUGGAAGGACGACCAAACUUGAUAAUUUUGAGGAAGUAAAAGU
rnacentral:rRNA from 1 species